GGUCGGGUAGCUCAGUUGGUAGUAGCAACGGAUUGAAAAUCCGUGUGUCGGUGGUUCAAUUCCACUCCUGACCA
rnacentral:tRNA from 2 species